GCGGUCUACUUAAUGCGUUACUUGAGAACCCAGUGUUCAAGACACCAAAUUCCGAGUAGACAUCGUUUACGGCGUGGACUACCAGGGUAUCUAAUCCUGUUUGCUCCCCACGCUUUCGUACAUGAGCGUCAGUCUUUGUCCAGGGGGCCGCCUNCGCCACCGGUAUUCCUUCAGAUCUCUACGCAUUUCACCGCUACACCUGAAAUUCUACCCCCCUCUACAAGACUCUAGUUUGCCAGUUCGAAAUGCAGUUCCCAGGUUGAGCCCGGGGCUUUCACAUCUCGCUUAACAAACCGCCUGCGUACGCUUUACGCCCAGUAAUUCCGAUUAACGCUUGGACCCCUCGUAUUACCGCGGCUGCUGGCACGAAGUUAGCCGGUCCUUCUUCUGCGAGUAACGUCACACCUAAACGCUAUUAACGCUUAAGCUUUCCUCCUCGCUGAAAGUGCUUUACAACCCGAAGCCUUCUUCACACACGCGGCAUGGCUGCAUCAGGCUUGCGCCCAUUGUGCAAUAUUCCCCACUGCUGCCUCCCGUAGAGUCUGGGCCGUGUCUCAGUCCCAGUGUGGCUGAUCAUCCUCUCAGAACAGCUAGGGAUCGUCGCUUGGUGAGCAUUACUC
rnacentral:rRNA from 1 species